rnacentral:lncRNA from 1 species
UUUUUGGCACACAGAGGGGCCUUGCAAAGUCUCGUGCCAUUCCAAGUCCGGCGGACGAAGUUGGCCGGCCCCACCCCCCAAGGCUAUAGCCCACCCGUAUUUGUGGCCUUUUUCCGCAGGACGAACUUGGGGCCCCGGCCUUUGGGCGGUUAUUUUUGGGCGCGGCUGCGUCCGCGGCCUAUUUUUUGCACACGGAGGUGCCUCACAAAGUCUCGCGCCCUUCCGAGUCCGGCGGGCGCAGUUGGGCAGCCCCACCCCCCAACGCUAUAGCCCACCCCUAUUUGUGGCCUUUUUCUGCUGGACGAACUUGGCGCUCCGGCCUUCGGGCGGUUAUUUUUGGGCAUGGCUGUGCCCGUGGCCUAUUUUUGGCACAUGGAGGUGCCUCGAAAAGUCUCGCGCCAUUCCGAGUCCGACGGACGAAGUAGGCCAGCCCCAACCCGUAUUUGUGGCCUUUUUCCGCAGGACGAACUUGGCGCCCCGGCCUACGGGCGGUUAUUUUUGGGCGCGGCUGUGCCCGUGGCCUAUUUUUGGCACGCGGAGGGGCCUCGCAAAGUCUCGCGCCAUUCCGAGUCCGGCGGACGAAGUUGGCCAGCCCCACCCCCCAAGGCUAUAGCCCACCCGUUUUUGAGGCCUUUUUCCGCUGGACGAACUUGGCACCCCGGCCUUCGGGCGGUUAUUUUUGGGCGCGGCUGUGCCCGCGGCCUAUUUUUGGCACACGGAUCCGCCUCGCAAAGGCUCGCGCCAUUCCGAGUCCGGCGGACGAAGUGGGCCAACCCCACCCCCCAAGGCUAUAGCCCACCCGUUUUUGUGGCCUUUUUCCGCUGGACGAAAUUGGCGCCCCGGCCUUCGGGCGGUUAUUUUUGGGCGCGGCUGUGCCCGCGGCCUACUUUUGUCACGCGGAGGCGCCUCGCAAAGUCUCGCGGCAUUCCGAGUCCGGCGGACGAAGUCGGCCAGCCCCACCCCCCAAGGCUAUAGCCCACCCGUUUUUGUGGCCUUUUUCCGCUGGACGAACUUGGCGCCUCGGCCUUCGGGUGGUUAUUCUUGGGCCCAGCUGUGCCCGUGGCCUAAUUUUGGCACUCGGAGGCACCUCGCAAAGUCUCGCGCCAUUCCGGGUCCGGCGGACGAAGGUGGCCAGCCCCAACCCCCAAGGCUAUAGCCCACCCGUUUUUGUCGCCUCUUUCCGCUUGACGAACUUGGCGCCCCGGCCUUCGGGCGGUUAUUUUUGGGCGCGGCUGUGCUCGCGGCCUAUUUUUGGCACACGGAUCCGCCUCGCAAAGGCUCGCGCCAUUCCGAGUCCGGCGGACGAAGUGGGCCAGCCCCACCCCCCAAGGCUAUAGCCCACCCGUUUUUGUGGCCUUUUUCCGCUGGACGAAAUUGGCGCCCCGGCCUUCGGGCGGUUAUUUUUGGGCGCGGCUGUGCCCGCGGCCUAUUUUUGUCACGCGGAGGUGCCUCGCAAAGUCUCGCGGCAUUCCGAGUCCGGCGGACGAAGUCGGCCAGCCCCACCCCCCAAGGCUAUAGCCCACCCGUUUUUGUGGCCUUUUUCCGCUGGACGAAUUUGGCGCCCCGGCCUUCGGGCGGUUAUUUUUGGGCGUGGCUGUGCCCGCGGCCUAUUUUUGGAACACGGAGGCGCCUCGCAAAGUCUCACGCCAUUCCGAGGCCGGCGGACGAAGUUGGCCAGCCCCACCCCCCAAGGCUAUAGCCCACCCGUAUUUGUGGCCUUUUUCCGCUGGACGAACCUGGCGCCCCGGCCUUCAGGCGGUUAUUUUUGGGCGCGGCUGUGCCCGCGGCCUAUUUUUUUCGCAUGGAGGAGUCUCGCAAAGUCUCGCGCCAUUCCGAGUCCGGCGGACGAAGUUGGCCAGCCCCAACCCCCAAGGCUAUAGCCCACCCGUUUUUGUGGCCUUUUUCCGCUGGACGAACUUGGCGCCCCGGCCUUCAGGCGGUUAUUUUUGGGCGCGGCUGUGCCCGCGGCCUAUUUUUUUCGCACGGAGGAGUCUCGCAAAGUCUCGCGGCAUUCCGAGUCCGGCGGACGAAGUUGGCCAGCCCCACCCCCCCAAGGCUAUAGCCCACCCGUUUUUGUGGCCUUUUUCCGCAAGACGAACUUGACGGCCCGGCCUUCGGGAGGUUAUUUUUGGGCACGGCUGUGCCCGCGGUCUAUUUUUUUCGCACGGAGGAGUCUUGCAAAAUCUCGCGGCAUUUCGAGUCUGGCGGACGAAGUUGGCCAGCCCCACCCCCCCAAGGCUAUAGCCCACCCGUUUUUGUGCCCUUUUUCCGCUGGACGAACUUGGCGUCCCGGCCUUUGGGCGGUUAUUUUUGGCCGCGGCUGUGGCCGCGGCCUAUUUUUGGCACACGGAGGCACUUCACAAAAUCUCGCGCCAUUCCGAGUCCGGCGGACGAAGUUGGCCAGCCCCACCCCCCAAGGCUAUAGCCCACCCGUUUUUGUGGCCUUUUUACGCUGGACGAACUUGGCGCCCCGGCCUUUGGGCAGUUAUGUUUUCCCGCGGCUGUGCCCGCGGCCUAUUUUUAGCACACGGAGGCGCCUCGCAAAGUCUCGCGCCAUUCCGAGUCCGGCGGACGAAGUUGGCCAGCCGCACCCCCCAAGGCUAUAGCCCACCCGUUUUUGUGGCCUUUUUCCGCUGGACGAACUUGACGGCCCGGCCUUUGGGAAGUUAUUAUUGGGCGCGGCUGUGCCCACGGCCUAUUUUUGGCACACGGAGGCGCCUCACAUAGUCUCGCGCUAUUCCGAGUCUGGCGGACGGAGUUGGCCAGCCCCACACCCCAAGGCUAUAGCCCACCCGUUUUUAUGGCCUUUUUCCGCUGGGCGAAUUUGGCGUCCCGGCCUUCGGGCUGUUAAUUUUGGGCGCUGCUGUGCCCGCGGCCUAUUUUUGGCACACGGAGUUGCCUCGCAAAGUCUGAUGCCAUUCCGAGUCCGGCGGACGAAGUUGGCCAGCCCCACCCCCCAAGGCUAUAGCCCACCCGUUUUUGUGGCCUUUUUCCGCUGGACGAACUUGGCGCCCCGGCCUUCGGGCUGUUAUUUUUGGGUGCGGCUGUUCCCGCGGCCUAUUUUUGGCACACGGAGGUGCCUCGCAAAGUCUCGCGCCAUUCCGAGUUCGGCGGACGAAGUUGGCCAGCUCCACCCCCCAAGGCUAUAGCCCACCCGUUUUUGUGGCCUUUUUCCGCUGGACGAACUUGGCGCCCCUGUCUUCGGGCGGUUAUUUUUCGGCGCGGCUGUGCCCGCGUCCUAUAUUUUGCACACGGAGGCACCCCGCAAAGUCUCGCGUCACUCCGAGUCCGGCGGACGAAGUUGGCCAGCCCCACCCCCCAAGGCUAUAGCCCACCCGUUUUUGUGGCCUUUUUCCGCUGGAUGAACUUGGCGACCCGGCCUUCAAGCUGUUAUUUUUGGGCGCGGCUGUGCCCGUGGCCUAUUUUUGGCACACGGAGGUGCCUCGCAAACUCUCGCGCCAUUCCGAGUCCGGCGGACGAAGUUGGCAAGCCCCACCCCCCAAGGCUAUAGCCCACCCGUAUUUGUGGCCUUUUUCAGCGGGACGAACUUGGCGCCCCGGUCUU